rnacentral:rRNA from 1 species
CCUACGGGUGGCAGCAGUGGGGAAUAUUGCACAAUGGGGGAAACCCUGAUGCAGCGACGCCGCGUGAGUGAAGAAGUAUUUCGGUACGUAAAGCUCUAUCAGCAGGGAAGAAAAAAAGUCCUUUUGAAUUUGGGCGGUACCUGGCCAAAAAACCCCGGCUAACGACGUGCCAGCAGCCCCGGGAAGACGUAGGGGGCAAGCGUUAUCCGGAUUUACUGGGUGUAAAGGGAGCGUAGACGGCAGCGCAAGGCUGGAGUGAAAUGCCGGGGCCCAACCCCGGAACUGCUUUGGAAACUGUGCAGCUGGAGUGCAGGAGAGGGAAGCGGAAUGCCUAGUGGAGCGGUGAAAUGCGUAGAUAUUAGGAGGAACACCAGUGGCGAAGGCGGCUUACGGGACUGUAACUGACGUUGAGGCUCGAAAGCGUGGGGAGCAAACAGGAUUAGAUACCCGAGUAGUC